CUUGACACGGUUGGUGACACGGUGCACUUUUGUCUCUUCACUCGUUUUCCAUUGCAGCCACCAGUCGCCUUUCCUCUCCUCUGUUCCCAAGGCAGUCUUUUCAGCAGUGCUCCUUGUUGGUGUUCACCUUUUUUCCACUUCCUCACUCCCAUGUGCUGACUCCUACUUACUUCAUUUUCUCUCACAUACAUUUUGAUGCCAUACAUUAAAUGCCAUUUUAGUUCUCUAUAUAAAUAAAGAAAUGUGUCAGUAUUUGUAACCCUGUUUGUUCUUUCUCUCUGCCAGUUUUACCUCCAUUCAUCUCUGAAAGACUGUGGACAAUUUAAGGAUAUGUUUGUGCAGCCCAGUAGUAACUGGGACUAUUGGAGGGAAUAGGGAGAGGUUUUUCAUUACCAUUCUGACAAGGAAACCCAACAAGUACUUCAAAAGAAACACUGCAGACCUCUCAGAAAUGCCUGUGGACUACUGAUGGUCUUCAAAGAAUUUGGGCGGCGCUAUGGAGCAGCGUUAAUCACUGCAGAUAAUUAGAUUGGAGGACAGCCAGCAUAGCCUGUCAUCUGGACAUCAUCAAACAAUUGCAACUGCAACGUCCUGCUCCUGUGAGUGAACACCCAAACAGCACGUGGCUACAGACUGCAGGGCAUGACUGUGCAGGUCGAGGUGCGUUUGGGGCUGUGGCAGUUUAAAGAUUUUUAUGGAAUCCCUGUAUCCUAACACUGAUACUCAAAGGGAAGUUAAGAUGUCCAUUUCACUGAGUACUCCCUAUGUCUUGCCACAACUAUAGAUAAAAGAUGCAGAUGUUCACAAGGGAUUCCGUGUAUCCCUUGGUGGUGGUGAACAGUUUUCUGCAGAUGAGUCUAAGGCUUCAGAGACUUGUGGCAAAUGGUACCUGGUGUGCAAGGAGGAGCCCAGAGCCUGAGGUCUCAAGAAAGGUUGUAGAUUAAUAUGUGGGGCAACUUUUUGUUCUUUGGAGCCCAGGUCUCAUCCUUGUUGCUGUGUACUUAGCAUGUGUAAUCAGACAUAAGGUAAUUCUUAAUACAGCAGCUCUUACCACUUCAUUUUGAACUUGCUGUAUAUUUUGUAUUCAGGUGCAGGCAACACAUUCCAGGAAGAAUAAUUGAAUCCUUGAAAAUGGGAGUACAUAAGAAGUACAGAGUAAAUGCAUUUACUUUUGGCAGAAAUUCUGGACAGUGCAGUACUUGAUCCAAGGGAGUAAGAAGGCUAUUAUCAUCCAUUAUCUUUCUGUGCUUAAAGCCACAUUUUCCUGAGUGCUUUUCCCCUGUGUGAGUGCUGAUACUUUCAGUGUAAGGAAGGAUCUGAGGUUCCCUUACAGUGGUUAUACUGCAUCACCUCAUGUUCUCGAAUGUAAGAUGCACUACCAGUCACUCAUGGACAGUGACUUUCAUCAGACAGAGCGAUUUGAAGAUCAGAGGUUGCUAGGAAUAAACAGAGAGUUUAUAAUGAACAGAAAAAUGAAUUCAUUAAAAGAAAGUGCUACAUCUUAGAGUUCGGGAAGAUUAGGGAUACAGGAUAAUUGCAGACGUCCGGUGGAGUUGGAUCUGGCAAAGGAAAUUAAAAAAAUGCUGCAGAAGUCCUUAGUCAUGUACAACAGUAAUUUCACAACAUAAAAAUGUAUGAUUUGCGUUUAACUUCGGUGAAAUUUUUGCUGAGGUCAGUAUAGAAAAUUACAAUGCUGCAUAUCAAAUUAUAGUUCCU
ensembl:lncRNA